AGCUCCAAUAGCGUAUAUUAAAGUUGUUGCAGUUAAAAAGCUCGUAGUUGAAUUUCUAGUCAACCGUUAGCUGGCUUCACAGUCGUUAACGAUUGCCUAUCCGACAUUGAACUAUAAUGGUUAUUAAGUUAACCUUAUAGCGAACUGUCAUUUUACUUUGAAAAAAUUAGAGUGUUUCAGGCAGGCAAUUGCCCGAAUAUCUUAGCAUGGAAUAAUGGAAUAGGACUUUGGUUCAUUUGAUUGGUUAUUGAAUCAGAGUAAUGAUUAAUAGGGACAGUUGGGGGCAUUAGUAUUUAAUUGUCAGAGGUGAAAUUCUUGGAUUUAUUAAAGACUAACUUAUGCGAAAGCAUUUGCCAAGGAUGUUUUCA
rnacentral:rRNA from 1 species